GAUGAACGCUAGCGGCAGGCCUAACACAUGCAAGUCGAGGGAGAAGCUCUUUCGGGAGCAGAAACCGGCGCACGGGUGCGUAACGCGUAUGCAACCUACCUUUCACAGGGGGAUAGCCCGAAGAAAUUUGGAUUAAUACCCCAUAAUAUUAUUGGAUGGCAUCAUUUGAUAAUUAAAACUGCGGUGGUGAAAGAUGGGCAUGCGUCCUAUUAGCUAGUUGGAGUGGUAACGGCACCCCAAGGCUACGAUAGGUAGGGGUCCUGAGAGGGAGAUCCCCCACACUGGUACUGAGACAGGGACCAGACUCCUACGGGAGGCAGCAGUGAGGAAUAUUGGUCAAUGGUCGGAAGACUGAACCAGCCAUGCCGCGUGCAGGAAGAAUGCCUUAUGGGUUGUAAACUGCUUUUAUAUGGGAAGAAUAAGGCGUACGUGUACGUUGAUGACGGUACCAUAUGAAUAAGCAUCGGCUAGCUCCGUGCCAGCAGCCGCGGUAAUACGGAGGAUGCGAGCGUUAUUCGGAAUCAUUGGGUUUAAAGGGUCUGUAGGCGGGCUAUUAAGUCAGGGGUGAAAGGUUUCAGCUUAACUGAGAAAUUGCCUUUGAUACUGGUAGUCUUGAAUAUCUGUGAAGUUCUUGGAAUGUGUAGUGUAGCGGUGAAAUGCUUAGAUAUUACACAGAACACCGAUUGCGAAGGCAGGGGACUAACAGACAAUUGACGCUGAGAGACGAAAGCGUGGGGAGCGAACAGG
rnacentral:rRNA from 1 species